rnacentral:rRNA from 1 species
UACGUAGGGAGCAAGCGUUGUCCGGAAUCAUUGGGCGUAAAGAGCGCGUAGGCGGUCCGGUAAGUCGGUUGUGAAAACUGGGGGGCUCAACCCUCAGAGGCCGACCGAUACUGCCGGGCUAGAGUCCGGAAGAGGCGAGUGGAAUUCCUGGUGUAGCGGUGAAAUGCGCAGAUAUCAGGAGGAACACCAAUGGCGAAGGCAGCUCGCUGGGACGGUACUGACGCUGAGGCGCGAAAGCGUGGGGAGCAAACAGG